UUGACGAGCUGUGAUUAUAAAUGCAGCAGGUAGCAGAAAAAGGGCCCAAAAAAAGGUUAGGGGCAAUUAAUUUUCGGUCUCUUUGAACGGUUUCGAUUUUGAUUUAAUAAUCUGAAUUGAUAACCCAGAGGAGGGAUCUCCGGAAAUUAAUUUGUCGCUAAUCUUCAAGUAGAAGAGAAUCGUUUCACAUUGUUGGCUCAUUUACGAUUUUUGAUUUCAUUUUUGAUUGACGAGCUAUGACCAAUCAUAAAUGCAUCAGAUAGCAGAAAAAGGACCCAAAAAAAGGUUAUGCGGCAAUUAAUUUUCGGUCUCUUUGAACGGUUUUGAUUUUGAUUUGUUAAUCUGAAUUGAUAACCCAGAGGAGGGAUCUCCGAAAAUUAAUUUGUCGCUAAUCUUCAAGGUAGAAGAGGAUCGUUUGACAUUGUUGGGCCCUUUUUCGAUUUUUGUCAAACAGAAAAAAAAAACCUCCCGAUCUGCAGAUAACUCCAAGCAUCAUGCACAGGGGUCUUCGGGAGUGGCCCUGAAGUGGCGAUGCAAUCAUCGCUUCAACGUGGGAUUCAUCGACCGAUAAGUCGUUUUAUUUAAAAAUUUAGUAGAAAUAAUUUUGAACUUGCAUGAUAAGAAUAAUAUUAUAUUACAAUUGAUUUAAAUAAUUAUUGACAAUUUUAUAGCAAAAUUUAUCAAAAAUUGCACCGUGUUUUAUGGGGAAUUUGUCAUAAAUUGCCGUUAAUUUCUUGCUAUAAUUAGUUGUGAAACAAUUUUGUCGUUAUUAUUUUCUGUUUUAAAAAUGCUGCUUUUUGCUAACUUUAACAGAUCAAUAUUUAUAUAUACUUCACAGAAUUUCUAU